CAGUCGCCGCGGUAAUACGUAGGUGGCAAGCGUUGUCCGGAUUUAUUGGGCGUAAAGCGAGCGCAGGCGGUUUCUUAAGUCUGAUGUGAAAGCCCCCGGCUCAACCGGGGAGGGUCAUUGGAGACUGGGAGACUUGAGUGCAGAAGAGGAGAGUGGAAUUCCAUGUGUAGCGGUGAAAUGCGUAGAUAUAUGGAGGAACACCAGUGGCGAAGGCGGCUCUCUGGUCUGUAACUGACGCUGAGGCUCGAAAGCGUGGGGAGCGAACAGGAUUAGAUACCCCCGUAGUCCCUGUCUCUUAUAC
rnacentral:rRNA from 1 species